GCCUGAGAUGGAGCAUUAUGGCUGCAUGGUUGAUCUAUUGGGUCGAGCUGGUUUAGUAUCUGAGGCUAUUGAAAUGAUUGAGAACAAAGUUGUCUCGCCAAACCCAGUAUUGUGGGCAACUCUUCUUUGUGCUUGUAGGAUUCAUGGAUUAAUUGAAUUGGGUGAAAAUAUAGGGAAUAAAUUGAUAGAAUUGGAUCCAUCAUAUGAUGGACAUUAUGUACAACUAGCUAAUAUUUAUGCCAAGUCUAGGAAAUGGGAUGAGGUAAUAAGAGUUCGAAGAUUGAUGGCUGAAAGGAACACCAAUAAAAUUGCAGGUUGGAGCUUGAUUGAAACCCAGGGAAGAGUCCACCAAUUUGUCGCUGGAGACAGAAAACAUGACUGUUCACUAGAGAUACACAAAAUGCUUGAAGUAAUAGAAACUCGUGUAGCUGAAGCUGGCUAUGUUCCUAAUCUAUCCUCAGUUUUACAUGACAUUGGGGAGGAAGAGAAAGAGAACGCAAUUAGGGUGCACAGUGAGAGGUUGGCAAUUGCUUUUGGUUUUUUAGUAAUAGGAGCUGGGGAUUGCAUUCGAAUUGUAAAGAACCUGAGGGUUUGUACAGAUUGUCACGAGGUGAGCAAGAUCAUAUCUAGAGUGUUUGAGAGGGAGAUCAUAGUGAGAGAUGGGAGCAGAUUUCAUCAUUUUAAGGAGGGGAAAUGUUCAUGCCUUGAUUAUUGGUAGAAUAGACAUAUACAAUCCAUUCAUUAGAGUUUUUGUUCGUCCUUUUGUUCUUUACUAGAAACUUUCAACACAAAGAAGAACCUUUGUAUCAUCUUGUCAGCUUGUGCAUUAUUUUUUCAUUCUUGUAUUAUAGAUUGCUUUUGUUAGUCAUUUUAAUGUAAUGCUAGACGAAUAAUGUCGCGAAUGAGAUUGUUUUGACAUUAUAGUUUGUGUUUCUUUUCAUAUUCACAGCCAUAUAAUUUAUUCCUU
rnacentral:misc_RNA from 1 species